rnacentral:tRNA from 1 species
UCCAACUCCUUCCCCUACUA